CAAGCACGUCCACAAUAACUCGGCUGAAAGGAGGCAAACCCAUCUGCUGCUCUGGGCUCUGCUCUUCUUAAGCUCUUAAGCAGAGGCUCCGGCAAAGACGAGGCGCACCUCAGGGAUCUGGUCGUAGACUUCCAAACUUGAGGCUCCGUCUAGCUCCGUCUACCCAUUUCCUGAUAAAUCUCUUCUUAACCAGAGGCUCCGCCAAACCGCUAGCUCCAUCUUUACCAAUGGCGGCGAUAGCCCCCUCCACCUCUGGCUCCCUCAUUUCAUUCGAAAGUUUUUGGAAUCUUAGAUCACUUCUCCCGUUUUUUUCUCCAAACCCACCAAAUCUCUGUUACUUCCCUGACUCUCCUACCGGUGGCGAGGAAGGGCAUCACCGGCGUCGAUGCUGAGUAUACAGCACCGGUAGCUUUCUGGCGUCGAUGCUGAGUAUACAUCACCGACAGUUUUCUGGCGUUCUUCGGCAGCGCUCCGGCGUCGGUGCUGAGUAUACAGCAUCAAUUUGAAUAUACAGCACCAGCAGCUUUCUCGCGUUGUCCGGCAUCGCUCCAGCCUCAUCUUCGUCCCCUUUCGACGGCCAACCUGUCUCAGAGUGGGCAGUAGUGACGCUCAUGUAAUCUGCGUCACAUAAACUCGUUUAAGCCAAAAGAAUCUGGUUGAAGAGUAAUUAYCAUUGCCGUCUUGCUGACAUCAACGCGCUCUAUUUUUUGCUAUAAAACCAGUUUAUUUGAUCUUGUUGGAUUAAAUGCAGACUAUUUCUGCUUUGCUUCUUAGACCCUUUUGGACUCGAGGGUAGUUGAGCUCAGAUGAGCUUCUAGUUGAGCUCAACAAUGGCGGAAAAGAACAUUUCUAUCUCCAUUUCSAUGRCUCUCUGUUCUUGCUCUUCUUUUGCUUCUCUGCAUUGUCUUUACCCAUUAAUAUUACGYAUGACAGUCGUUCUUUUAUCUUCGAUGGCCAGAGAAAGCUCAUCAUUUCUUCUUCCAUUCAUUACCCUCGCAGUGUUCCUGGAUAGAUGUGGCCGGAGCUCGUUAAAACUGCUAAAGAAGGAGGGGCUGAUGCAAUAGAGACUUAUGUUCUGGAAUGGACAUGAGCUUUCCCCUGGCAAUGUGAGUUAAUCAGAGGAUGUUUUAUUGGAUGCAACUAACUUUGGAAUCAGCUCUGGUUCUUUAUUGUUUUGUUGUGUUUUGCUCAAGAGGAACUUAGAUUUCUUUACUCUCAACCUUGUAGUAUUAUUUUAAUAAGCGCUACAAUCUGGUCAAGUUAGUGAAGAUUGUUCWGCGAGCUGGGAUGUAUUUGAUAUUGAUGAUUGGACCAUUUGUUGCAGCAGAGUGGAACUUUGGGUAUGCAAGCGGCUGUUUUAGAAUUUAGAAUUUACUCUACUUUCCGGCGAAUGCAAAGGGUGUCUAAGGGCGGGGAGAAAGCAGAAGAAACCCCUUACCUGAGACCAAAACAAUUAUUGAACAACCACCGAUGGCCGCCCGAGAGAGAAAUGGUGAAGAAGAAGAGAGAGGGACGAAGGGCAAAAUUGGGUCAAGCAAAGCUUUGAAAAAUUGGAAAGCAGGGGUUUUUCAUCAAUUAGAUUUUAUUUUGAAAAUUUGAUAAAUAAUGAAGGAUAAA